rnacentral:rRNA from 1 species
UACGUAGGGCGCAAGCGUUGUCCGGAAUUAUUGGGCGUAAAGAGCUCGUAGGCGGUUUGUCGCGUCUGCUGUGAAAGCCCGGGGCUCAACCCCGGGUCUGCAGUGGGUACGGGCAGACUAGAGUGCAGUAGGGGAGACUGGAAUUCCUGGUGUAGCGGUGAAAUGCGCAGAUAUCAGGAGGAACACCGAUGGCGAAGGCAGGUCUCUGGGCUGUUACUGACGCUGAGGAGCAGAAGAGCAUGGGGAAGCGAAGCAGAU